AUUGAACGCUGGCGGCAUGCUUUACACAUGCAAGUCGAACGGCAGCAUGGGUGCUUGCACCUGAUGGCGAGUGGCGAACGGGUGAGUAAUGUAUCGGAACAUGUCCGGAAGUGGGGGAUAACGUAGCGAAAGUUACGCUAAUACCGCAUAUGCCCUGAGGGGGAAAGGAGGGGAUCGCAAGACCUUUCGCUUUCGGAGUGGCCGAUAUCAGAUUAGCUUGUUGGUGAGGUAAAGGCUCACCAAGGCGACGAUCUGUAGCGGGUCUGAGAGGAUGAUCCGCCACACUGGGACUGAGACACGGGCCAGACUCCUACGGGAGGCAGCAGUGGGGAAUUUUGGACAAUGGGGGCAACCCUGAUCCAGCCAUGCCGCGUGAGUGAAGAAGGCCUUCGGGUUGUAAAGCUCUUUCGGACAGAAAGAAAUCGCACUUACUAAUACUGAGUGUGGAUGACGGUACUGUAAGAAGAAGCACCGGCUAACUACGUGCCAGCCGCCGCAGUAAGAC
rnacentral:rRNA from 1 species